rnacentral:rRNA from 1 species
AACGAACGCUGGCGGCAGGCUUAACACAUGCAAGUCGAACGGUCUCUUCGGAGGCAGUGGCAGACGGGUGAGUAACGCGUGGGAACAUACCUUUCGGUACGGAACAACAGUUGGAAACGACUGCUAAUACCGUAUACGCCCUGAGGGGAAAGAUUUAUCGCCGAGAGAUUGGCCCGCGUUGGAUUAGCUAGUUGGUGGGGUAAUGGCCUACCAAGGCGACGAUCCAUAGCUGGUCUGAGAGGAUGAUCAGCCACACUGGGACUGAGACACGGCCCAGACUCCUACGGGAGGCAGCAGUAGGGAAUUUUCGGCAAUGGGGGAAACCCUGACCGAGCAAUGCCGCGUGAACGAUGAAGGUCUUCGGAUUGUAAAGUUCUGUGAUUGGGGAAGAAUGGUAUUCUUAGGGAAUGAGGAGUACAUGACGGUACCCGAUUAGAAAGCCCCGGCUAACUAUGUGCCAGCAGCCGCGGUAAGUACUGACUCA